CCCGAUCAAGCUCAUCAAGUAUUUAUACAAUUAUCAUAAACAUUGAUAUGCAUUUUUCACGUCCUUCAUUAAAUUAGCUUUGCUAAAUUAAUGACAAAGAAAGGGCAAGAGUUAGACCAUGUAAACUGCCAGACUAAUAUGAAUUACUCUCCAAAUGUACGGUGAUCCUUAUUCUCGAUGAUAGUAUAUAUUAUGUAUACAUUCAAUCAAAGUGAGAAUGUCUGAACCUUCUACAUUUUAUAUUACCCAAAUGAUUCUAGCUAUAACGUUCUUGAUUAAUAUCUGGCCAUGGUUAUGGAUGACCAGCAAAGCUGAUAUAUAUCUAGCAAAGAGCUUCGCAUGUCGUCCUUAAUUAGUUGGAAGUUGGAAAGUGAUUUC
rnacentral:lncRNA from 1 species